rnacentral:rRNA from 1 species
GAUGAACGCUGGCGGCGUGCCUAAUACAUGCAAGUCGAGCGAACGGACGAGAAGCUUGCUUCUCUGAUGUUAGCGGCGGACGGGUGAGUAACACGUGGAUAACCUACCUAUAAGACUGGGAUAACUUCGGGAAACCGUAGCUAAUACCGGAUAAUAUUUUGAACCGCAUGGUUCAAAAGUGAAAGACGGUCUUGCUGUCACUUAUAGAUGGAUCCGCGCUGCAUUAGCUAGUUGGUAAGGUAACGGCUUACCAAGGCAACGAUGCAUAGCCGACCUGAGAGGGUGAUCGGCCACACGGGAACUGAGACACGGUCCAGACUCCUACGGGAGGCAGCAGUAGGGAAUCUUCCGCAAUGGGCGAAAGCCUGACGGAGCAACGCCGCGUGAGUGAUGAAGGUCUUCGGAUCGUAAAACUCUGUUAUUAGGGAAGAACAUAUGUGUAAGUAACUGUGCACAGCUUGACGGUACCUAAACAGAAAGCCACGGCUAACUACGUG